UGCCAGGCUUCCAGUGAGAGGAACUUCCACAUCUUCUAUCAGAUUUGCAAAGGAGCCAGUGAGGACGAGAGGCUCCAGUGGCACCUUCCUGAGGGAGCUGCCUUCUCCUGGCUGCCCAACCCAGAGAGGAGCUUAGAAGAGGAUUGUUUUGAGGUGACCAGAGAGGCCAUGCUCCAUUUGGGCAUUGACACCCCUACCCAGAACAACAUCUUUAAGGUCCUAGCUGGACUGCUGUACCUUGGCAAUAUCCAGUUUGCUGCCUCCGAGGAUGAAGCCCAGCCCUGCCAGCCGAUGGAUGAUGCCAAGUGUGAGGGUCAGGGUGUAGGAUAGGGCAGGCCCUGUCAGGAAGGUAGCCAGCAUUGCUGGGGUUGGGUGGAAGGCUGGAUGGUGAAAAUUGGAAUCUGAUGCCCUUGCUUAUGCUACCCACCAUAGGGCCUGGCCCUGGAUCAUUUACUCCUCACCCUG
rnacentral:sRNA from 1 species